GACGAACGCUGGCGGCGCGCCUAACACAUGCAAGUCGAACGAGCGAGAGAGAGCUUGCUUUCUCGAGCGAGUGGCGAACGGGUGAGUAACGCGUGAGGAACCUGCCUCAAAGAGGGGGACAACAGUUGGAAACGACUGCUAAUACCGCAUAAGCCCACAGGUCGGCAUCGACCAGAGGGAAAAGGAGCAAUCCGCUUUGAGAUGGCCUCGCGUCCGAUUAGCUAGUUGGUGAGGUAAUGGCCCACCAAGGCGACGAUCGGUAGCCGGACUGAGAGGUUGAACGGCCACAUUGGGACUGAGACACGGCCCAGACUCCUACGGGAGGCAGCAGUGGGGAAUAUUGCACAAUGGGGGAAACCCUGAUGCAGCGACGCCGCGUGGAGGAAGAAGGUCUUCGGAUUGUAAACUCCUGUU
rnacentral:rRNA from 1 species